rnacentral:rRNA from 1 species
AAACUUUCAACAAUGGAUCUCUUGGCUCUCGCAUCGAUGAAGAACGCAGCAAAAUGCGAUAAGUAAUAUGAAUUGCAGAAUUCCGUGAAUCAUCAAAUCUUUGAACGCAAAUUGCACUUCUUGGUAUUCCGAGGAGUACACAUGCUUGAGGGUCAGUU